UAGGGAAUCUUCGGCAAUGGACGGAAGUCUGACCGAGCAACGCCGCGUGAGUGAAGAAGGUUUUCGGAUCGUAAAGCUCUGUUGUUAGAGAAGAAUGAUGGUGGGAGUGGAAAAUCCACCAUGUGACGGUAACUAACCAGAAAGGGACGGCUAACUACGUGCCAGCAGCCGCGGUAAUACGUAGGUCCCGAGCGUUGUCCGGAUUUAUUGGGCGUAAAGCGAGCGCAGGCGGUUCUUUAAGUCUGAAGUUAAAGGCAGUGGCUCAACCAUUGUACGCUUUGGAAACUGGAGAACUUGAGUGCAGAAGGGGAGAGUGGAAUUCCAUGUGUAGCGGUGAAAUGCGUAGAUAUAUGGAGGAACACCGGUGGCGAAAGCGGCUCUCUGGUCUGUAACUGACGCUGAGGCUCGAAAGCGUGGGGAGCAAACAGGAUUAGAUACCCUGGUAGUCCACGCCGUAAACGAUGAGUGCUAGGUGUUAGGCCCUUUCCGGGGCUUAGUGCCGGAGCUAACGCAUUAAGCACUCCGCCUGGGGAGUACGACCGCAAGGUUG
rnacentral:rRNA from 1 species